AUAAUACUCCCUCCAUACGGAAUUACUUGUCAUCAAAACGGAUGUGUCUAGAACUAAAAUACAUCUAGAUACAUCCAUUUCAAUGACAAGUAUUUUUGGACGGAGGGAGUAGUAG
rnacentral:pre_miRNA from 1 species